UGGAGGACCAUGCUGUCACCCUGUGUGCUGGUGCUGCUGCUGCUGAAGAGUGUCUCUGCAGGUCCUCUCAGCAGCGAUGUCACAGCUGGGUGAAAAGGAGGCGGAUGUUCAGACGUGAGGUGGCCUCAGGCUCUUUGACGACCUCUUGCUCUUCCCCAGAGGUGAUCACACCUUGUUCUGUCACACCAGCUCUCUUCCUGAUCCUCCUCUGGAGCUCCCAGCAGACACAGAUACAGAAGUCCUUCGUGUGGCAGCAAGGCAUCAUGGGUCUCUUUCUCCUGCUGCUGCUGGUCAGGGGGGCUGUUUCUGUGACUGUACGGCAGUAUCCUACAAUAGAAUUUGGAAUACAAGGCAGUACUUUAAAAAUUAACUGUGAGGUGACAGGGUCAGCUAGUCCUUCAAUCUACUGGUUCAAGCAGCAGAGCCAUAGUGAUCUGAAUCCUCUGUUUUAUUCUGUUGCUUCUGGUAAUGUAGAUCCCCCCACACAGGGGCAUUUCAGUGCAACCAGACCCAAUGGCUCCCACUUCAUUCUGGAGUCUACAGCCUUGACAGUGGAUGACUCUGCAGUGUAUUUCUGUGCUGGAAGCACUCACAGUGCCUGAAACACAUUGACUGUCAGUACAAAAACCACACCUGCAGUCCUUCUACAAGCUCAGAGAUAAACCAUCAUUAAUUCAGAAGCACUGCAGAUACAAAAGAGAGAAUAGUCUUCAAUAACUCAAUAGUCAGUCUCUGCUGUUUUUGUUAGCACAAUACAAUUUAUUUAUUUUUACUUAGUGAAAUGAAUCAUGGGAGAAGGGGAACUUAGCAACAGGUAGUUGACUGAACUCAUUAUUAUGACCCGUUUCUCUCAGAAAACUGAUCCAAUAAUUCACAUUGAAUUGAGAAGGACAUUUGAGAGCAUUUUUCAUGUUCCUGUGGAAAGCUUUUUUACUGCUGCCUUAAGCCUGUUUUUAAAUUAAUCUGUUUUUAAAAUCAAGACUUUCAUGCACAAGGAGUUUCUUUGUACAAAGCCAUGAGUUAAUUUUCCUUCUCCA